rnacentral:rRNA from 1 species
AUUGAACGCUGGCGGCAGGCCUAACACAUGCAAGUCGAACGAGUGGCGGACGGGUGAGUAAUGUCUGGGAAACUGCCUGAUGGAGGGGGAUAACUACUGGAAACGGUAGCUAAUACCGCAUACCAUCGGAUGUGCCCAGAUGGGAUUAGCUAGUAGGGGGGGUAACUGCUCACCUAGGCGACGGUCCCUAGCUGGUCUGGGAGGAUGACCAGCCACGGUGUAACUGAGACACGUGCCAGACUCCGACGGGAGGCAGCAGGGGGGAAUAUGGCACAAUGGGCGCAAGUCUGAUGCAGCCAUGCCGCGUGUAUGAAGAAGUCCUUCGGGUUGUAAAGUACUUUCAGCGGGGAGGCGUUACCCGCAGAAGAAGCACCUGCUAACGCCGCGCCAGCCGCGGUAAUUC